rnacentral:rRNA from 1 species
UACGGAGGGUGCAAGCGUUGUCCGGAUUUAUUGGGUUUAAAGGGUGCGUAGGCGGCUCUUUAAGUCAGUGGUGAAAGUCUACGGCUUAACCGUAGGAUUGCCAUUGAUACUGAAGAGCUUGAGUAUAGUUGAGGUAGGCGGAAUUGACGGUGUAGCGGUGAAAUGCAUAGAUAUCGUCAAGAACACCGAUUGCGUAGGCAGCUUACUAAGCUAUAACUGACGCUGAGGCACGAAAGUGUGGGGAUCAAACAGG